rnacentral:rRNA from 1 species
GCCCAGACUCCUACGGGAGGCAGCAGUGAGGAAUAUUGGUCAAUGGGCUUACGCCUGAACCAGCCAAGUCGCGUGAGGGAAGACUGCCCUAUGGGUUGUAAACCUCUUUUGUCAGGGAGCAACGCCGGCUACGUGUAGCCGGACUGAGAGUACCUGAAGAAAAAGCAUCGGCUAACUCCGUGCCAGCAGCCGCGGUAAUACGGAGGAUGCGAGCGUUAUCCGGAUUUAUUGGGUUUAAAGGGUGCGUAGGGGGGACGCCAAGACGGGGGAAAAACGGGGGGGCCACCCCCCGGCCCGCCGUUGAAACUGGCAGUCUCGAGUUGGAGAGAAGUAUGCGGAAUGCGCGGUGUAGCGGUGAAAUGCAUAGAUAUCGCGCAGAACUCCGAUUGCGAAGGCAGCAUGCCGGCUCCACACUGACGCUGAGGCACGAAAGCGUGGGUAUCGAACAGGAUUAGAUACCCGCGUAC